AUUGAACGCUGGCGGCAGGCUUAACACAUGCAAGUCGAACGAGUGGGGGACGGGAUAGUAAUGCUUGGGCCUCUAGCUUAUGGAGGGGGAUCACUACGGGAAACUGUUGCCAAUACCGCGCACCUUAGGAUGAGCCCAAGUGGGAUUAGGUAGUUGUUGAGGUAAAGGCCCACCACGCCGACGAUCUCUAGCUGGUCUGAGAGGAUGACCAGCCACACUGGAACUGAGACACGGCCCAGACUCCUACGGGAGGCAGCAGUGGGGAAUAUUGCACAAUGGGCGAAAGCUGAUGCAGCCAUGCCGCGUGUAUGAAGAAGGCCUUCGGAUUGUAAAGUUCUUUAGGUAGGGAGGCGUUAACUACAGAAGAAGCACCGGCUAACUCCGUGCCAGCAGCCGCGGUAAUAC
rnacentral:rRNA from 1 species